UCNCCAUGGUCCUGCACUGUCGUGGCUGC
rnacentral:piRNA from 1 species